AUUGAACGCUGGCGGCAUGCUUUACACAUGCAAGUCGAACGGGGUGAGGGGGCAACUCCUCAUUCAGUGGUGAACGGGUGAGUAAUGCAUCGGAACGUGUCCCGUAGUGGGGGAUAACUCGGCGAAAGCCGUGCUAAUACCGCAUAUGCUCUACGGAGGAAAGUGGGGGAUCCGCAAGGACCUCACGCUAUGGGAGCGGCCGAUGUCCGAUUAGCUUGUUGGCGGGGAAUGGCCCACCAAGGCGACGAUCGGUAGCUGGUCUGAGAGGAUGAUCAGCCACACUGGGACUGAGACACGGCCCA
rnacentral:rRNA from 1 species